rnacentral:rRNA from 1 species
AACGAACGCUGGCGGCGUGCCUAACACAUGCAAGUCGAGCGAGAAAGCCCGCAAGGGUGAGUACAGCGGCGCACGGGUGCGUAACACGUGGGUAAUCUGCCCUGGAGUCCGGAAUAACUCGCCGAAAGGCGUGCUAAUGCCGGAUGAGACCACGGGGGCUCCGGCCCCUGAGGGAAAAGGUGGCCUCUGCAUGCAAGCUAUCACUUCAGGAUGAGCCCGCGGCCCAUCAGCUCGUUGGCGGGGUAACGGCCCACCAAGGCUACGACGGGUAGCUGGUCUGAGAGGACGAUCAGCAAAACUGGAACUGAGACACGGUCCAGACUCCUACGGGAGGCAGCAGUGGGGAAUCUUGCGCAAUGGGCGAAAGCCUGACGCAGCAACGCCGCGUGUGUGAUGAAGGUCUUCGGAUCGUAAAGCACUGUCGGGAGGGACGAAUAAGGGCCGGGCGAACAUCCCGGUCCGAUGACGGUACCUCCAAAGGAAGCACCGGCUAACUCUGUGCCAGCCGCCGCAGUAACAC